rnacentral:rRNA from 1 species
UCGAGAAUAUUCGACAAUGGACGAAAGUCUGAUCGAGCGACGCCGCGUGGAGGAAGAAGGUCUUCGGAUUGUAAACUCCUUUUCCGCUCUAGAAAGUUAUUGAUCAGAGCGGGAAUAAGUAGCGGCAAACUUCGUGCCAGCAGCAGCGGUAAUACGAAGGCUACAAGCGUUAUCCGGAUUAAUUGGGCGUAAAGAGCGAGUAGGUGGUUUGGUGCGUCUGUUGUUAAAUGUCACCGCUUAACGGUGUCACCGCAAUGGAAACGGCCGAACUAGAGAGUGCUAGAGGCAAAUAGAACGCACGGUGUAGGGGUGAAAUCCGUUGAUAUCGUGCGGAAUACCGAAGGCGAAGGCAUUUUGCUGGGGCAUUUCUGACACUCAAUCGCGAAAGCGUGGGGAGCAAAAAGGAUUAGAUACCCCCGUAGUCC